UACGUAGGGUGCAAGCGUUGUCCGGAAUCAUUGGGCGUAAAGCGCGCGUAGGUGGCCCCAUAAGUCCGCUGUGAAAGUCAAAGGCUCAACCUUUGAAAGCCGGUGGAUACUGUGGGACUAGAGUACGGAAGAGGCGAGUGGAAUUCCUGGUGUAGCGGUGGAAUGCGCAGAUAUCAGGAGGAACACCAAUAGCGAAGGCAGCUCGCUGGGACGUUACUGACACUGAGGCGCGAAAGCGUGGGGAGCGAACAGG
rnacentral:rRNA from 1 species